AGAAUCAACGCCGGCGGCGUGCCUAACACAUGCAAGUCGAACGAGAAAGUGGAGCAAUCCAUGAGUAAAGUGGCGCACGGGUGAGUAACACGUGACUAACCUACCCUUGAGUGGGGAAUAACUGAGGGAAACCUUAGCUAAUACCGCAUAAUACCUACGGGUCAAAGGAGCAAUUCGCUUAAGGAGGGGUCGCGGCAGAUUAGCUAGUUGGCGGGGUAAUGGCCCACCAAGGCAGUGAUCUGUA
rnacentral:rRNA from 1 species